rnacentral:rRNA from 1 species
GGAGGGGGCUAGCGUUGUUCGGAAUUACUGGGCGUAAAGCGCGCGUAGGCGGGCUGGUCAGUUGGGGGUGAAAUCCCGAGGCUCAACCUCGGAACUGCCCCCAAUACUACCAGUCUUGAGUUCGAGAGAGGUGAGUGGAAUUCCUAGUGUAGAGGUGAAAUUCGUAGAUAUUAGGAAGAACACCAGUGGCGAAGGCGGCUCACUGGCUCGAUACUGACGCUGAGGCGCGAAAGCGUGGGGAGCAAACAGGGAUUAGAUACCCUGGUAGUCCACGCCGUAAACGAUGGGUGCUAGUUGUCGGGCGGCAUGCCGUUCGGUGACGCAGCUAACGCGUUAAGCACCCCCGGCCCUGGGGACUACGGUCGCAAGACUA